CCUACGGGCGGCAGCAGUGAGGAAUAUUGGUCAAUGGACGAGAGUCUGAACCAGCCAAGUAGCGUGAAGGAUGACUGCCCUAUGGGUUGUAAACUUCUUUUAUAUGGGAAUAAAACGUUCCACGUGUGGGAUUUUGUAUGUACCAUAUGAAUAAGGAUCGGCUAACUCCGUGCCAGCAGCCGCGGUAAUACGGAGGAUCCGAGUGUUUCCGGAUUUAUUGGGUUUAAAGGGAGCGUAGGUGGAUUGUUAAGUCAGUUGUGAAAGUUUGCGGCUCAACCGUAAAAUUGCAGUUGAAACUGGCAGUCUUGAGUACAGUAGAGGUGGGCGGAAUUCGUGGUGUAGCGGUGAAAUGCUUAGAUAUCACGAAGAACUCCGAUUGCGAAGGCAGUUCACUGGACUGCAACUGACACUGAGGCUCGAAAGUGUGGGUAUCAAACAGGAUUAGAUACCCGAGUAGUC
rnacentral:rRNA from 1 species